rnacentral:rRNA from 1 species
AGUGAACGCUGGCGGCAGGCCUAACACAUGCAAGUCGAGCGGCAGCGCGGGGGCAACCCUGGCGGCGAGCGGCGGACGGGUGAGGAAUUCGUCGGAAUCUGCCUUUUUGUGGGGGAUAACGUAGGGAAACUUACGCUAAUACCGCAUACGCCCUACGGGAGAAAGUGGGGGACCGCAAGGCCUCACGCAGAAAGAUGAGCCGACGACCGAUUAGCUAGUUGGUGGGGUAAAGGCCCACCAAGGCGACGAUCGGUAGCUGGUCUGAGAGGAUGAUCAGCCACACUGGGACUGAGACACGGCCCAGACUCCUACGGGAGGCAGCAGUGGGGAAUAUUGGACAAUGGGCGCAAGCCUGAUCCAGCCAUGCCGCGUGUGUGAAGAAGGCCUUCGGGUUGUAAAGCACUUUUGUCCGGAAAGAAAUCCCUGGAGCUAAUACCUUCGGGGGAUGACGGUACCGGAAGAAUAAGCACCGGCUAACUUCGUG